UACGUAGGCAGCAAGCGUUGUUCGGAAUUACUGGGCGUAAAGAGUGUGUAGGCGGUUCUCUAAGUUUGGUGUGAAAUCUCCCGGCUCAACUGGGAGGGUGCGCCGAAAACUGGAAUGCUUGAACAUGGGAGAGGAAAGCGGAAUUCCUGGUGUAGCGGUGAAAUGCGUAGAUAUCAGGAGGAACACCUGCGGUGUAGACGGCUUUCUGGACCAUUGUUGACGCUGAGACACGAAAGCGUGGGUAGCAAACAGG
rnacentral:rRNA from 1 species